UGGGGAAUAUUGGACAAUGGGCGCAAGCCUGAUCCAGCCAUGCCGCGUGAGUGAUGAAGGCCUUAGGGUUGUAAAGCUCUUUCACCCACGACGAUAAUGACGGUAGUGGGGGAAGAAGCCCCGGCUAACUUCGUGCCAGCAGCCGCGGUAAUACGAAGGGGGCUAGCGUUGCUCGGAAUCACUGGGCGUAAAGGGCGCGUAGGCGGCCGAUCAAGUCAGGGGUGAAAGCCUGUGGCUCACCACAGAAUUGCCUUUGAUACUGUUCGGCUCGAGACCGGAAGAGGUUGGUGGAACUGCGAGUGUAGAGGUGAAAUUCGUAGAUAUUCGCAAGAACACCAGUGGCGAAGGCGGCCAACUGGUCCGGUUCUGACGCUGAGGCGCGAAAGCGUGGGGAGCAAACAGGAUUAGAUACCCUGGUAGUCCACGCCGUAAAACGAUGAAUGCCAGCCGUUGGGCAGCUUGCUGCUCAGUGGCGCAGCUAACGCUUUAAGCAUUCCCGCCUGGGGGAGUUACGGUCGCAAGAUUAAAAACUUAAAGGAAUUGACGGGGAUCAUAGCUGUUU
rnacentral:rRNA from 1 species